rnacentral:rRNA from 1 species
UACGGGGGGGGCAAGCGUUGUUCGGAAUUACUGGGCGUAAAGGGCUCGUAGGCGGCCAACUAAGUCGGACGUGAAAUCCCUCGGCUUAACCGGGGAACUGCGUCCGAUACUGGAUGGCUUGAGUUCGGGAGAGGGAUGCGGAAUUCCAGGUGUAGCGGUGAAAUGCGCAGAUAUCAGGAGGAACACCAACGGCGAAGGCAGCUCGCUGGGACGGUACUGACGCUGAGGCGCGAAAGCGUGGGGAGCGAACAGG